CCAAUAGCGUAUAUUAAAGUUGUUGCAGUUAAAAAGCUCGUAGUUGAAUUUCGGGAUCAAUAUUUCGGUCAUGCCGUUGGUAUGCACUGUUAUCAUUGAUUUCUCACCUUCUAAAGAACCGUAAUGCCAUUAAUUUGGUGUUACGGGGAAUUAGGACUGUUACCUUGAAAAAAUUAGAGUGUUUAAAGCAGGCUCACGCUUGAAUACAUUAGCAUGGAAUAAUGAAAUAGGACAUCCGAUUCUAUUUUGUUGGUUUCUAGGAUCGAUGUAAUGAUUAAUAGGGAUAGUUGGGGGCAUUAGUAUUCAAUUGUCAGAGGUGAAAUUCUUGGAUUUAUUGAAGGCUAAAUACUGCGAAAGCAUUUGCCAAGGAUGUUUUCAUUAAUCAAGAACGAAAGUUAGGGGAUCGAAGACGAUCAGAUACCGUCGUAGUCUUAACCAUAAACUAUGCCGACUAGGGAUCGGAUGAUGUUAAUUUUUUAAUGACUCAUUCGGCGCCUUACG
rnacentral:rRNA from 1 species